rnacentral:rRNA from 1 species
ACCAAGAGAUGUGAGACCCUGAGAACACCCAAUCUUGCCUGAUCUCAGAAGCUAAGCAGGGUAAGGCCCAGUUAGUACUUGGAUGGAAGACGACCUGGAAUACCAGGUGCUGUAGGCU